UACGUAGGGUGCGAGCGUUGUCCGGAAUUAUUGGGCGUAAAGAGCUCGUAGGCGGUUCGUCGCGUCGGCUGUGAAAUCCCGAGGCUCAACCUCGGGUCUGCAGUCGAUACGGGCGGACUGGAGUUCGGCAGGGGAGACUGGAAUUCCUGGUGUAGCGGUGAAAUGCGCAGAUAUCAGGAGGAACACCGGUGGCGAAGGCGGGUCUCUGGGCCGAUACUGACGCUGAGGCGCGAAAGCCAGGGGAGCGAACGGG
rnacentral:rRNA from 1 species